AUACGGAGGGUGCAAGCGUUACUCGGAAUCACUGGGCGUAAAGCGCGCGCAGGCGGCUAUUUAAGUUGGAUGUGAAAGCCUAUGGCUCAACCAUAGAACUGCAUCCAAAACUAUUUAGCUAGAGUGUGGGAGAGGAAGAUGGAAUUAGUUGUGUAGGGGUAAAAUCCGUAGAGAUAACUAGGAAUACCAAAAGCGAAGGCAAUCUUCUGGAACACUACUGACGCUGGGGCGCGAAAGCGUGGGGAGCAAACGGGAUUAGAAACCCCAGUAGUCC
rnacentral:rRNA from 1 species